rnacentral:rRNA from 1 species
GAUGAACGCUGGCGGCGUGCCUAAUACAUGCAAGUCGAGCGAACGGACGAGAAGCUUGCUUUUCUGAUGUUAGCGGCGGACGGGUGAGUAACACGUGGAUAACCUACCUAUAAGACUGGGAUAACUUCGGGAAACCGGAGCUAAUACCGGAUAAUAUUUUGAACCGCAUGGUUCAAAAGUGAAAGACGGUCUUGCUGUCACUUAUAGAUGGAUCCGCGCUGCAUUAGCUAGUUGGUAAGGUAACGGCUUACCAAGGCAACGAUGCAUAGCCGACCUGAGAGGGUGAUCGGCCACACUGGAACUGAGACACGGUCCAGACUCCUACGGGAGGCAGCAGUAGGGAAUCUUCCGCAAUGGGCGAAAGCCUGACGGAGCAACGCCGCGUGAGUGAUGAAGGUCUUCGGAUCGUAAAACUCUGUUAUUAGGGAAGAACAUAUGUGUAAGUAACUGUGCACAUCUUGACGGUACCGAAUCAGAAAGCCACGGCUAACUACGU